rnacentral:rRNA from 1 species
CACGUAGGGGGCAAGCGUUGUCCGGAUUUAUUGGGCGUAAAGAGCUCGUAGGCGGCUUAGUAAGUCGGGUGUGAAACCUCCAGGCUCAACCUGGAGACGCCACCCGAUACUGCUGUGGCUAGAGUCCGGUAGGGGAGCGUGGAAUUCCUGGUGUAGCGGUGAAAUGCGCAGAGUAUCAGGAGGAACACCCGUGGCGAAGGCGGCUUUCUAGGAUAUACCUGACACUGAGAAGCGACAGCUAGGGGAGCAAACAGG